rnacentral:misc_RNA from 1 species
AAGACUAUAGACCUGCGGAGUACCUGCGGAGGGAUCAUUACAUGGCGGAGGAGGUGGGCACCUAGUAACCCUGGGUGUGUUGCCUUCACGCUUUCUACCCUUGUCUAUUUGCACCUUUUGUCGUUCCCUCGGUGGGUCUUGAACCUGCCGACGGCAACUUUCCAAAAACCUCUUGCAGUAGUAUCGAAUUCUUCUGAUGUAAAUAUCAAAUUUAUUACAACUUUUAACAAUGGAUCUCUA